rnacentral:lncRNA from 1 species
GGGCCGGGAGGGGGAUGCCCACAUUGAAUUUAUGCUUUUCUGUUUCCUUCUGAAAUGUAACAAAAAACUUUUACGUGAAGGAUUUUUAAAAAAUCUAUGGAACACCGCUCACACCUGUAAUCCCAGCACUUUGGGAGGCUGAGGCAGGAGGAUCACUUGAGCCCAGGGGUUCAAGAACAGGGCUGAGCAAAGGUGAGACCCCGCCUCUACAAACAAUACAAAAAUUAGCUGGGUGUGUGUCCCGGCUACUGGGGAGGCUGAGGUGGGAAGAUCACCUGCACGGGGGAGGCCGAGGCUGCAGUGGGCUGUGACCAUGCCACUGCGCUCCAGCCUGGACGAUAGAGUGAGACCUUGUCUCAAAAGAAGAAAGAGAAACCUGAGACAAGUUAACGUGGGAAACCCACAGAUACUGCCCAGUCGAGACCCUGGCGUAGCAGAGGGACCCGAGUCUGUGCGGGGAGGCUCCAGCCAGAGGGGCGUCCUCUCGUCUGCCGUCACCUGGUCUCGGCCUCUGCUGGAAACUCUGGUUGAAUCACGGACAACAUUUAUGAAAAUUGUAGAGAAAACUGGAGACUGUGAAUGCCGUUUCACCCUUCAAGGAGGGCUUGCUGCUGCUGUUGACAUGCAGCUGGGGUGCCAUAGACGCCUAUAUCCAGCACCAGAUUCCUAUCUCAGUUGAAGGUCUGGCAUCUGGGGGUCCCCAUGGUGGGGCGCCCAUUCCAGCUUGUGCCCCUCCAGCCCCAGGAGACUGCUCUGCUCAGAAACCAUCAGCAAAUGCACCGGGGAGGGUGGUGCCUUAAGACAGACAGAGUCACUUCUCUGGGCUGCCAGAGGCACCGGAAGCCGGGUGCCUCAGGCCCUGGCAGUUCCGUCACUCUCCAACGCCUCCCCCACAGACUUCUUUUUGCUAAAUGGUAUCAAGAUUUUCUCAUUGUUGUCAGCAAGAGAGUUGGUUUUCUAACAUCUCAUCGACCAUGGCUGGAGGUCAAAUCGAUGUUUAAACUUGCUGGAAAUAAACGGCUCCUUUCUUGCAUGGCUCGAUGCGCAAUAAGGUUCCUCUGUGUCAUUUUGUUUACGAUUUUUAGGAUUGCUUUUUAAAGCCGGACACGGCGGCUGAUGGCUGUAAUCCCAGCACUUUAGGAGGCCGAGGCAGGAGGAUCACUUGAGAUAAGGAGUUCAGGACCAGCAUGGGCAACACAGCGAGACCCCAUCUCUAUAGAAAACACAAAAAUGAGGCUGGGGGUGCUCAUACACGCACUGAGGGUUGACCCUGGUGUUCUUGCCUUCUUAGAUUCUUCUGGAGCUGGAGAUGAACUCGGACCUCAAGGCCCAGCUCAGGGAGCUGAAUAUUACAGCAGUGAGGGAAACUGAAGUUGGUGGUGGUGAGAAAGUUAUUAUGGGCAGGUGCAGCAGCUCACGCCU